AGUGGACGCUGGCGGUAGGCCUAACACAUGCAAGUCGAACGGCAGCACAGGAGAGCUUGCUCUCUGGGUGGCGAGUGGCGGACGGGUGAGGAAUACAUCGGAAUCUACUUUUUCGUGGGGGAUAACGUAGGGAAACUUACGCUAAUACCGCAUACGACCUACGGGUGAAAGCAGGGGAUCUUCGGACCUUGCGCGAUUGAAUGAGCCGAUGUCGGAUUAGCUAGUUGGCGGGGUAAAGGUCCACCAAGGCGACGAUCCGUAGCUGGUCUGAGAGGAUGAUCAGCCACACUGGAACUGAGACACGGUCCAGACUCCUACGGGAGGCAGCAGUGGGGAAUAUUGGACAAUGGGCGCAAGCCUGAUCCAGCCAUACCGCGUGGGUGAAGAAGGCCUUCGGGUUGUAAAGCCCUUUUGUUGGGAAAGAAAUCCAGCUGGUUAAUACCCGGUUGGGAUGACGGUACCCAAAGAAUAAGCACCGGCUAACUUCGUGCCAGCCGCCGCGGUAA
rnacentral:rRNA from 1 species